UACGGGGGGGGUAAGCGUUGUUCGGAAUUACUGGGCGUAAAGGGCUCGUAGGCGGCCAACUAAGUCGGACGUGAAAUCCCUCAGCUUAACUGGGGAACUGCGUCCGAUACUGGAUGGCUUGGAUUUGGGAGAGGGAUGCGGAAUUCCAGGUGUAGCGGUGAAAUGCGUAGAUAUCUGGAGGAACACCGGUGGCGAAGGCGACUCCUGGACCGU
rnacentral:rRNA from 1 species